CAACCCCUGUGCACUUUAUCAGAGUUAGUAAUAGUAUUGUGGUGGCAGCCGUUUGUUAUUCAUUGUUAGAAGCGGGGUAACUCUUUCUAGCAGUAGUAAUAAUAACAAUCUUGGUUCUACUACUAUUACUGUGAACACUUUGACUUUUACUUAUACAAACACUUUGCUUGUUCUUGUGAAUGUGUAAUGCUCCUUGUGAGCGAAAUACAAAUAUACAACUUUCAACAACGGAUCUCUUGGCUCUCGCAUCGAUGAAGAACGCAGCGAAAUGCGAUAAGUAAUGUGAAUUGCAGAAUUCAGUGAAUCAUCGAAUCUUUGAACGCACCUUGCGCCCCUUGGUAUUCCGAGGGGCAUGCCUGUUUGAGUGUCAUGUAAUUCUCAAUCCUCUUUUUUCUUAAUUGAAGAGGGGGCUUGGACUUGGAGGUUAAUAUAUACAUGCUGGUACUGUCUGUAUCGGCUCCUCUAAAAUGCAUUAGCUGGACUGUAGUUCGCAUUGUUUGGUGUAGUAAUAGUUUUCUAUCUAUAUUCACUACAGUGCUUGCUUAGACUGUCUGCUUCUAAUAGUCCGCCUAUAUGUCGGACAGGUACUCUGUUACCUUAAACCAUUUGACUCCUUUGACCUCAAA
rnacentral:rRNA from 1 species